AAACAUGCUCGUCGGGAAAAUGGGAUGGUUGCCAAAAUGCCGGUCUGUGAUGGGUGCCAUAUUGCAUUAUUCUUUGAGUGGUGGAAUACAGCUUGGGAUUCUUCAAGGGUGGUUAAUGUGGUACAAACUGUACCGUACAGCUGCUGAAGGUCUUAACCAUUUGGAUUCAUGCAUAACUUAAUGGGCUCCUGGAAGAAGUGGAAGAGCCUCUUGACGAAACUUGAGGAUAUUGUGGAAGAUGCUGCUGAGACCCAUUUGGAUUAUGUCAGCAUCUGAUAUCAAGGUCUUGCAGCUGGUGAAAGGAGUUCACCAGAUCUUUUUGUUACGUGGUUGCUGAAGCAUUAUCCUGGGAUAGUGGUAAUGAUUGAUGAACACACUUCAGGCUUGAGUCACAGAGCAGCGUGAGGAUUUACACUUUGAAGUAGGAGUGUGAAUGGGAUUGAAGGAUUUACAUGGAGGAUUCUGAACUCCUCUCCUUCCUGCUCCAGGAAAGACAGGGCCCUGCCCUGAGACCCAUGGGUAUGAUCCAUGUGUGCUACUGAGGCUGACUCGAACGGUGUGACAAAUGUAA